ACACACACCACACACACAGAGAUAACACACACCACACAUACACACACACCACACACACAGAGAGAUAACACACCACACAUACACACACACCACACACACAUUCUGAAAGGCAUCAAUCCGUUACAUAAAAACGAAGGGCUAGACACACUUGCAAUGUCGGAAUGACACCGCGCCCCCGAUUUGUAAUGACUAAGUCCGCUUGUAUGUCAUCGACAAUCUCCAGGAUGUCAGUACAUCGAGUUACAAGCGCCAUCUCUACACUUAGUGGCGGAACCACCCGCUAGCGCAGUCGAACGAGGAGACAUUUCUCAGCCUUUGCCGGACAUAAAGGGUGGGCGACCUUUGAUGGCCCCUAAGUGCCAGACGGUGGGUACAAUAGGAACGUACCCGUUCUGAUCGGUACAAAUGUGCUCACACACUUUCUGCAGCUGGCUAGAGAGACCCAUGGAGCCUACUUCCUGCAGGCAGCAUCACUGAGCACACCUUGGCAUCUGUCGUACCGGUGUAUCGUACAGCGGGAGAGGAAUCUCUCUAGGAAUAACAACUGCCUGGCAGUGGUACGUAACGGCGACAAAGAUAUUGUACUACAGCGCUUGGAAGAGAAUGGAUUAAAACUAAACCCCAAGAUGUGUUCAUUCUGCCAGGACAAAGUGAGGUAUGUCAGGCAUAUUGUCCCCUCACAAGGGAUUGAAUCUGGCCCAGAAAAAUGUGCAAAAGGGCGUGACUGGCCGACUCCUGCAACCCCAGAGGACGUUGGACGAUGUCUAGGUUUUGCAGGAUACUACAGAAGAUGUGUGAAGGGGUUCCCCAAAAUCGCAAAACCACUUGUCGAUCUGACGCCAGUAUCUCAGAAGCAGAAAAUGGGCAGGAAGACAUCUGACAAGAGCCAACAAGCCAAGUGGCAGUGGGGCCAGGAGGAGGAGGCAGCAUUUCAGACGUUAAAGGACUUUUCUCCACCAAUUUUGGGGUCCCCUGACUAUAAGCUACCCUUCCAGCUGCAUGUCGAUGCUAGCGCGCCGGGGUUAGGAGCAGUCCUCUAUCAGGAACAGCUGGCAGCGCUGGCGAGCUACAACUUCGACAUCACGUACAGGUCAGGCAGCAGCAAAUUAACGUAGACGCUGACGCACUGUCGAGGCUGCCAGAGCAUCACAUCGAGGGAGAGUCCGUGCGAGCAAUAUGUAAUUCAGUACAGCCCGUCGCGUACGUAGAAUGUCUUUCAUUCUCUAUGAGGGUGGUAGACGAGAACCUCACGCCGCCAGGCCUGAGUCUGGGGAGUCUGUCCACAACAGAUGUGGAAGAGGCCCAAAGACGCGACCCUGUUCUUUCACAGUGGAUGGACUGCAUAGAAAAAAGCCAGCUGCUUUCGUCGUGUGAAGCAGCAACGGGACCCGUCCAUCGUGCGUUGCAACAAAACUUUAACCAUCUGAAGCUGAGAGAUGGGGUCUUAUAUCGUGAAACAAUUAUCAAUGAGUAGCCGCGCAAACAGCUGGUACUGCCAUCUAGCUACGUGCCCAGAGUGUUGCAAAUGUUGCACGGUGAUGUGGGUCACCCAGGUCGUGAUCGAACGCUGCACCUUUUGCAAGGCAGGUUUUAUUGGACAGGGAUGUCCAGUGAUGUGGACAAUUAUAUGAAGACGUGUCCGCGGUGUAUUCGCAGAAAGGUGCCAGCGGACAGUCGUGCACCGCUAGUAAAUGUUGUUACGACUCAACCACUGGAGCUGGUGUGCUUCGACUUCCUUACCCUAGAAGGAGCUAAUGGAGGCUUCCAGCACAUCUUAGUGAUUGCGGAUCACUUCAACCGGUAUGCACCGGCCUGGCAACGCUCUGGGAGUACGUGUUAAGCCAGCAGCAGACAAUACCUUCACCUGCAUCCGCAGGAGCAGUGGAGACAAUUAGGGGUUGCUGCUUCUGUCUGUUAAUGUUAGGCAGGCAUUAUCGCCCUUACCCGUGCGUGAGCGAGGUUGCUGCGUCAUAAUCUAACGUCAUAAUCUGACGCAAUUUUGGAUUUUAUUUGACGUUUUGGGGAGAAAAGAAAACUGAUUGAGGCAGACGACAGAAAAAUAACGUGCAGAAGUGAAAUGUUAAGCCAGAAGUCUGAAACAAAGACGAAAUGAAAGAGCCUACUCAGCGGCUGCCUUCGGAAUCCUCCUUAAUCGUUCCUCUACAUUAGUUCCUUUACUCGGCAAGGAACCAAAUCCACUGAUUUCCCUGCCUGUAUUCACACCUGUACAGCUAGGACCAACCGUCUCGGUGGCUGCCUCGGGAAUCCUUCUACUCAGUAAUUUUUCAUACCAUAGAGAUUCGAUGAACCUUGCUCACUUCUGCACGUUAUUUUUCUGUCGUCUGCCUCAAUCAGUUUUCUUUUCUGCUUCAAACCGGUGAUGCCCCAGGAAAAUUCCAAAAAUUAAAAAAGUGCGUGAAGAAAUCAACUACGCCAAAUGCUUGCAAGUUGCUGCGUAAAUAUUUCGUCUGCUAAUUCUCUCCCGUCUCUGCCCCAACUUUGAGAAAAGCUGCAAUCCUUGGGAUCCUUGCAACGGAAAGGGAACCCCGUCUGCUUGUGAACUACUCUGGGCGUGCCCACGCAGAUUAUACCCAGACGUUUAGAACUGCCCGGAGGUUUCGAUCUACUACAGCGGAAGCCAUGGCAGAAAUAAAAUUGUUCAGAAAAUGGUCUGCCGACGCUGUUCAAGUAUCAGACAUCAGCUUGACGGAUUAUAUUGCAGUCAAGGAGAAGUAUGUCAAUUUUCUACAACACUCUGCAGGACGUUACCAAGUCAAGCAUUUUCCAUAAGGCUCAACGCCCCAUUGUAAAGCGCUUAGCAUGCAGUCUCAUGAUGCCUGGAACGUAACAAUGGCAAGAAACUCACAGCCAUUCGCAUUGUAAAGCAUGCUUUUGAGAUCAUCCACCUGUUGACAGGGGAGGUGUGUAUCAUUUUUUGUAUAACUUUUUAUAUUUGUAUUCUUGUCAGCCUGUCAGGUGAUUUGAUUGUUUUUCUGUUUGUUAUAAAAAGGCUUCAUGAAAGCUUUUCCGUAGCGGACAGAUAUUUUACCCAAUUGUCAGCAAGGAUCUCUUUUGUCAUGUAAAUGCUUUUCACUUGAUCAAAUAUUUGUCUAGUUUAGGCCUUCUGCAUACUUAGCUCUUUCAAGAGCCUGCUUCGGCAUCACCUGCAGCUUACAGCACCUGUUACCAUUUCCUGUUGUGUUUCUUGUCUGCCACUGUCCCAAAGCUAAUUUGUUGAUUAUAAGCUUUUGUGGUGGGCUGAUGGUGCCUUUGUUAAAACAUUAUUUUAAUGGGCAUAAUUUAUUUUUUACGAAUAUUUUUUUGCAAGCAUUAUUAAAACAUAGUGUGUUAACUUUUUUAGCAUGUUUAUAAAAUGUUUCAGUGCUAUCUGGGAGAGCUUUACAUCAUUUGCACAGAUAACAAAGGUUGGGUGGGGGCUGGAUUGUCUUAUUUAAACCAAUUGUAACAAACAGAAUGUGUGAAGACAAUUAUGUAUAACAUUCUUAACAAACAUAAUGAAAAAUGCUAUUUAAUCAGGUUUGUAGCCAUUCAGUUUGUAGAGAGCACAUCAUUGUCAGCCCCU
rnacentral:lncRNA from 1 species